UGGGGAAUUUUGGACAAUGGGGGCAACCCUGAUCCAGCAAUGCCGCGUGUGUGAAGAAGGCCUUCGGGUUGUAAAGCACUUUUGUCCGGAAAGAAAACGCCGUGGUUAAUACCCGUGGCGGAUGACGGUACCGGAAGAAUAAGCACCGGCUAACUACGUGCCAGCAGCCGCGGUAAUACGUAGGGUGCAAGCGUUAAUCGGAAUUACUGGGCGUAAAGCGUGCGCAGGCGGUCCGCUAAGACAGAUGUGAAAUCCCCGGGCUUAACCUGGGAACUGCAUUUGUGACUGGCGGGCUAGAGUAUGGCAGAGGGGGGUAGAAUUCCACGUGUAGCAGUGAAAUGCGUAGAGAUGUGGAGGAAUACCGAUGGCGAAGGCAGCCCCCUGGGCCAAUACUGACGCUCAUGCACGAAAGCGUGGGGAGCAAACAGGAUUAGAUACCCUGGUAGUCCACGCCCUAAACGAUGUCAACUAGUUGUCGGGUCUUCAUUGACUUGGUAACGUAGCUAACGCGUGAAGUUGACCGCCUGGGGAGUACGGUCGCAAGAUUAAAACU
rnacentral:rRNA from 1 species